rnacentral:lncRNA from 1 species
CGGGAACAGUGGAGGGUGCGAGGAAGACAAUGGGGGAGGACCCUGAGGCGGCCUCUGUGAGCCGACAGGAACACGUGGUCGAUCAGAGAGAGACUCGAGGUUCGUGAACGGAUGGGGAGGACCCUGAAAAGCACUGUGGAAUACAGGUUUCUAGUAACUUCAAAAUCACAUCAUUUGGACUGGCUUCUUUGGGAUGUCCGCUCUGCAUAUCUACUAAGGAAUUAAGAAAUAAUGGCUUCAGCAAGAAACAAGGCAGGAAAGUGCAGUGACAUGAGGACCAUACAGGGAAGGAGCUGUCCCCAAAGGUGAGAAUGGCCCUGGACAAGGGUUCUUGCUGUGACUUCACUCAGACCAGACCACCUUGACCUUUUCAUCACCGUGCCUCAGCGAAGUCAGUCGUUGAUUCUCUGAUCGGUUACUGAGAUCAUCAUGAAAUCUCCCUCGUACGAGAGUUGCAGAACUCUGCAGUGUCAAUCAUAGUGUUUGGGAGAGAGGACUUUCUACCUCCAUCCUUUUUCUGAACCUAAAUGGAAUGAAAAUUAGAACUGUUGCUUAUUCUUUGAGGUAAUUUCAAAUUCCCUUAUCCAAACCAGUGUUACAAAAGGACUCCAGUUUGCCCCCCAAAUCG